UACAGAGGUCCCAAGCGUUGUUCGGAUUCACUGGGCGUAAAGGGUGCGUAGGCGGCAGGGUAAGUCUGAUGUGAAAUCUCGCGGCUCAACCGCGAAAUGGCAUUGGAAACUACCUUGCUUGAGGAUUGGAAGGGGGACUGGAAUUCUCGGUGUAGCAGUGAAAUGCGUAGAUAUCGAGAGGAACACCAGUGGCGAAGGCGAGUCCCUGGACAAAUCCUGACGCUGAGGCACGAAAGCUAGGGGAGCAAACAGG
rnacentral:rRNA from 1 species